rnacentral:rRNA from 1 species
UACGAAGGGGGCUAGCGUUGCUCGGAAUUACUGGGCGUAAAGCGCACGUAGGCGGCUUUCUAAGUCGGGGGUGAAAUCCUGGAGCUCAACUCCAGAACUGCCUUCGAUACUGGAGAGCUCGAGUCCGGGAGAGGUGAGUGGAACUGCGAGUGUAGAGGUGAAAUUCGUAGAUAUUCGCAAGAACACCAGUGGCGAAGGCGGCUCACUGGCCCGGUACUGACGCUGAGGUGCGAAGGCUAGGGUAGCAAACAGG